UGCCACAUUAAAUCAAAAUACUUUUGUUAAAAAAUGGUUUAAAAUAGCUAAUGAAUUUUCUGGAAAAAGAUGUGACUAGUUUUCACCUUGUCGAGCAUUUUUUCACUAGUGCAACUUUGGAAUUUUUAUGAGAAUUUUGGUACGUUAAUGACCACCUCGCUCCGUGCCGGAAGCAAUAAACACAAAGCUUUUAAAGAAUUUCUGACUUGACUAAUUGAGGUCGCUUUCGUCAGAGGCAGAGGAUGUGUAACCCUUAAAACGGUCUUCAUUUGCAAAGGAAACUCACCUCUUUGGACAGCCAAGAGAACAAAAACCCUGAUCUUCUGAUACUUUGGAGCUUCUGCCAUGUUAAUUACGGACUGCUUAGAGCACUGUACUUUACCCUGUGCUCAGACACUGACGAGACCGAGUCUGAAAAUCCUGCUCUGCAUUUCUUGUAUGAAAGCCUUAAAGUGUAUAACAACAUACACUUUUUAAAACAAUUGUAUAUUGAAACUCUUAACUGUAUAGUGAUGCAACAAUGUUUUAUUUGGAGCUCAAUAAAGAAUUUCCAUCUAAGUUCCUGUUACAAAGCAAUAACGCAACCUCCUGUUCUUUAGUGACUCUUCUUAGCCUUAUGCAGCAAGUGUAAGAGAGUGUGUGAGGUCUCAUGACUUAAAUGCUUUUGGAAAUAGCUUGUCUAAUGUAUGAAUGACAUGGAUAAGUUAAAAUGAAGAUUGGUGUUUUCUCCUGAAGCUUUUCUUAAUAGCUAAUUGUAAACAAGUCUGCUCCAGACAAGACUCUUGGGUAGAAAUAAUGCUCCAACUUCCAUUUCCUUCUAAAACUUGUAUAACAAGAUGUUUAAUCCCUGUCAGUAAUACUAUGCUGCUUAUUCUCUUUCACUUGGUGUUUGAUGCAUAGAAAUGUUUUCUCUAAUUCACAGUCACAGGUUUUCUAGUAGUAGAGUCUUGGAUAAGGCUUUUACACCUUGAUAAAUCUUGUAUCCAACAGUCAUGUUUCCUCAGUGCUUUCUGUUUUAUAUUAAUUGUGAUUGUGAUAAUUUGUAACAGAAAUAAAGUUCUGAUAAUUUAUUUACUUGUGUUCUUU
rnacentral:lncRNA from 1 species